ensembl:lncRNA
UUUGUUGGAGAUCCCUGUAUACCUGAGGCCUUCUGAAGGACUUCAGCUGCAAUUCCCAGUUCCAAACCCAUGUGGGAUGGCCCUGGGAGUUAGAGAGACCUCUUAUUCCAAAGAGACAGAACCUCCACAACAGGGAGCUGAGGACCAAGAAAUGUCAGGGUUUAAUUUGGUCUCUGAUACUCAAUCACUGCAUGCCCUCAGCUCUUGCACAGUCCAUGAACUUUUUGUAACCGAUGUGAUUAGGAACUUUACAUCUCUAAUCCCUGUCGCUCCAUUGGCAGCAGGAGAGGUAGCUGGAACACAAGGAAUGCAAUCACAUGGGCUGCUCCUUUGGCCAUGGCAUCACUCAGUGGGCAAAGCAUCAUGUAGAAGAAAGGAGUUAAUUCUUCCCUAUGAAACAGGAAGAUUAAAGAGCUGGAGAUCUGCACUGACAGCCUGCUACUGAGGAAAGAAAAGGAGAACCUGCGCUCUCUGUGCAGGCAACUCCAGCACGCAAUAUGCAUCCAGAUGAGACUGAGUGAAAAGAAGACAAGAAAAUGAGCUCAGUGCAGCAAAGGCUGGUUAGAAAGCUAGUCAGAAGGGUCCUUAAGACAAAGGGUUUCUGUUGACUUUAAUGGGGUUUGGAUAGCCUGACAGUGUUGGCUUAUGUUUGAGCAUCCAGACAUCGGGUUUGGUUGUUGUAAAUAAGAUUCUCUCUCUGCUGCAGGGUGGGAAACUGGAGCCAUGCUUCCAGCAGUGAGGAGUGGAGCCAGCACCACUCCGGAGGUCCACUUUGCAAUCUGUGCAGUGCAUGAACACAAGGCUGCAAGUUAGCUUGUGUUGUUUUCCCUUCCUUUCUUUCUUUGUUUCCCUUUCUCUCUUUCUCUCCUUCUCUCUUUCUUAGGAUUUCAGUUGUUGCUCAUUCUGAGUUACUUUAAAAGUGAUCUUGAUGUCCUUCCUGUUUUCUCAUUUUCACUCUCACUCACUGGAGCAACACAUGAGAGAUUCGCCAUUAAGCAAAAGAAGAAAAUAAAAAGAAUAAAUGACAGGAAGUAAAAGGAAGAACGGUGCACAAUUCCUGAUUUACUUCCUUAUGCACUCCCUCCCCCCCACCUCUUGCAUAUGCACACUGAAGGGACCAAACUACGAACCCAAUGUGAGAUUUCAUUUUCAAUUCUUAAUGAAACAGUUGCAGUGAGAGAGAAGAGGAACAGGCUGGGCGUGGGAGGAAAAUGCGGAGUCAUUCUUUCUCUUUCUGUGGUCAAUGUGUCAUAUCUUCAUCAUGGCUGCACUUGGGGCACUUUGCUGCAGAAAGAUGAAAAAAAAAUCUGGUUUGAGUGCUGUUGGUAAAACUGUACUGUCACCACAUGUGAAACUGUCCCACAGAUAUCAGGUCUUGGAGGACUGCCCUAACAGCAAAGCUGCAAAAGGGUUACUCUCGUCUUCUCCUCUCCAACUAUUUAUCUUUCCACUUCCUCUAAUUUUUAUUCCUCUUACUUCAUUUGCAGGAGCUGUCUUAGACAAUUCAAUAUUACAGAACAGCAUUUAUGGAGAUUGAAAGUUGUGGUAAUUAAUCAUCUUUGGGUGAAAUUCUAACCCGAUGCAGUCAGUAGUAAAACCCAAGUAGCUUCAGUAUUUCAGCCCACGGCAUCUUAAUGCCAUGGCUUAUUUGUAAUUUGGAUGUCUUUUGAAGCUUUGAAUACAUUAAGGGAAAAUAGUGGGUUUGUGUGUUUG